rnacentral:lncRNA from 1 species
UGGGCUCUCUGGCCCCCUGGGUUUUAACCUGUUUUGCUGUCUUUAUUUUUCAUCUUCAUCACCCCUUGGUCAGGAUCAAGCUCAGCUUGUAGGCUGGUGCCUACAGUUAAAUAGCUACCCAAAUGUGGACCACAGAGCAGAGGGCUUCCAGAUGAGAGGCACUACUGCCCGGGGACCAACAGCAAGUGAGAAGGAGGGCUCUGCCCACCGAACCGGACGCAGAGUCUGUGUGUCAGGUAAAAGGGCCGAAAACCAAGACCAGACCAGGCCACACAAGCCUUUAUUAGGGGAAUAGAUCUGCCGGGCUGCCUCUGAACAAAGGAGAGACAAAAGCAGUAGGGCCGGGGGCAGGGAGAGUCUUUUAUAGAGACUGGGGUGGGACUUAUAGGGGCUGGGGCAGGGUUGAGUGAGGUAGUGACUAGGGAAUGGAG